rnacentral:tRNA from 1 species
GGUCUCGUAGCUCAGCUGGUAGAGCGUGUGCUGUACAAAGGCGUCGGCGGCAUCUAUGCGUGGUUUUGAAUCCCACCGAGGCUA